rnacentral:rRNA from 1 species
AUUGAACGCUGGCGGCAGGCCUAACACAUGCAAGUCGAGCGAGCGGCGGACGGGUGAGUAAUGUCUGGGGACUGCCCGAUAGAGGGGGAUAACUACUGGAAACGGUAGCUAAUACCGCAUACUAUCGGAUAACCCAUAUGGGAUUAGCUAGUGGGUGAGGUAAUGGCUCACCAAGGCGACGAUCCCUAGCUGGUCUGAGAGGAUGAUCAGCCACACUGGGACUGAGAAACGGCCCAGACCCCUAGGGAGUCAGCAGGGGGGAUUAUUGCACAAUGGGCGCAAGCCUGAGGCAGCCAUGCCGCGUGUAUGAAGAAGGCCCUAGGGUUGUAAAGUACUUGCAGUCGGGAGGCGUUACCGACAGAAGAAGCACCGGCUAACUCCGUGCCAGCCGCCGCGGUAAUC